rnacentral:tRNA from 1 species
GCCGGGGUGGCGUAAUCGGUAGCCGCGCGACACUUAAAAUGUCGUGAUCGAGAGAUCAUGUGGGUUCGAGUCCCACCCCCGGCACCA